rnacentral:lncRNA from 1 species
CUCAAAAUAUAAUUUAUUAUAAUUGUUAGUUCGAGAUUUCUAAAUUAUUGUAAUUAAGUCUUACAGUCAAUUUAAUUGGCUAAAUACUGACAAAUUAUUGAUUAUUGAUUAUUGAUUAUUGAUGCAGAUGCGAUAUAGUAUUUUAAUUAUUAUUGCAUUAUCAAUUAUAAUACUUUUAUAUUAAUUCUAUAUCAGCAAUUUAUCAAUAUUUAGCGAACAAAAUUUAGUAGUGAGAUUUGAUCGCAGCAAUUCAAAAAGCUUGAGUCAGAAAUUACAAUAAAUUAAAAAUUGAGGCCUAAAGUGUCACGGCUUUCAUAGUUUGGGGACCAAAAGUAUAAUUUAC